rnacentral:rRNA from 1 species
GAUGAACGCUGGCGGCGUGCCUAAUACAUGCAAGUCGAACGAGGUGCUUUUGUAGCAAUACGAGAGUAUCCUAGUGGCGAACGGGUGAGUAACGCGUUGGUGACCUACCCCAAAGUGUGGGAUAACAGUCCGAAAGGAUUGCUAAUACCGCAUGUGGUCUUCGGGUUUAGAAACUGAUGACUAAAGGAGCAAUUCGCUUUGGGAGGGACCUGCGUCCAUCAGCUAGUUGGUGAGGUAAUGGCUCACCAAGGCUACGACGGGUAGGGGACCUGAGAGGGUGACCCCCCACAAUGGAACUGAAACACGGUCCAUACACCUACGGGUGGCAGCAGUAGGGAAUAUUGCACAAUGGGCGAAAGCCUGAUGCAGCAACGCCGCGUGUGCGAUGAAGGCCUUCGGGUCGUAAAGCACUUUUCUGGAGAUGAGCAAGGACAGUAUUUCAGGAUAAGUCUCGGUUAACUACGUGCCAGCAGCCGCGGUAAU